CACGUAGGGGGCGAGCGUUGUCCGGAUUUAUUGGGCGUAAAGAGCUCGUAGGCGGUUCGGUAAGUCGGGUGUGAAAACUCGGGGCUCAACCCCGAGACUGCACCCGAUACCGCUGUGACUGGAGACCGGUAGAGGAGUGUGGAAUUCCUGGGGGAGCGGUGAAAUGCGCAGAUAUCAGGAGGAACGCCCGCGGCGAAGGCGGCACUCAGGGCCGGUACUGACGCUGAGGCGCGAAAGCGUGGGUAGCAAACAGG
rnacentral:rRNA from 1 species